rnacentral:rRNA from 1 species
UACGGGGGGGGGGGCAAGCGUUGUUCGGAAUUACUGGGCGUAAAGGGCUCGUAGGUGGCCAACUAAGUCAGACGUGAAAUCCCUCGGCUUAACCGGGGAGCUGCGUCUGAUACUGGAUGGCUUGAGUUUGGGAGAGGGACGCGGAAUUCCAGGUGUAGCGGUGAAAUGCGCAGAUAUCAGGAGGAACACCAGUGGCGAAGGCGGUGCUCUGGGCCGGUACUGACGCUGAGGAGCGAAAGCGUGGGGAGCAAACAGG